UGAGGAAUAUUGGUCAAUGGGCGGAAGCCAGAACCAGCCAAGUCGCGUGAGGGAAUAAGGCCCUACGGGUCGUAAACCUCUUUUGCCGGGGAGCAAGGGCGGGGACGUGUCCCGGCCCGGAGAGUACCCGGAGAAAAAGCAUCGGCUAACUCCGUGCC
rnacentral:rRNA from 1 species